CAGGCUCUGACAGCAUUCCCUGCCUGUGACAGCAUUCCCAGCCUGUGACAGCAUUCCCAGGCUCUGACAGCAUUCCCAGCCCCUCUGCUGCCCCAUGCCAGCAGUGCUGAAGUGAGCAGUGAGUCACAAACCAGCUGUGCCCCAGGUGAGCCCUCCCCAGGGAAUCCUUCCUUGCCAGAGUGGGAUCAGCUGAGCUGGAAUAUCUCUGCAGGAAGAGAAACAUUUCUGAAAAGGGACCGACAGGUGACUGUUCUAACAAGCUUUUGUCAGACAGGAGUCUCCAGGCAGGUCUUACCAGACCUGAGCACCUUCCUCCCCAGGGACCUGCUCACCUCAUCCCAGAGGUGAAGUGGGAGGGAGAGACCCAGGGCUGGCCCUACACCCCGGCAGCCACCAGUGGGCUAAGGCCCUGUGGGCAGGGGACAGCUCAUCCAGGAGAGACCCCAGAGAGACACAGCCAGGGCAGAGCUCAUCCAGGAGAGACCCCACAGAGACACAGCCAGGGCAGAGCUCAUUCAGGAGAGACCCCAGAGAGACACAGCCAGGGCAGAGCUCAUCCAGGAGAGACCCCAGAGAGACACAACCAGGGCAGAGCUCAUCCCGGAGAGAUUCCAAAGAGCCUCAGCCAGGGGACAGCUCAUCCAGAAGAGACCCAAAGGAGCCACAGCCAGGGCAGAGCUCAUCCAGGAGAGAUUCCAAAGAGCCACAGCCAGGGCAGAGCUCAUCCAGGAGAGAUUCCAAAGAGCCACAGCCAGGGCAGAGCUCAUCCAGGAGAGACCCCAAGGAACCACAGCCAGGGCAGAGCUCAUUCAGGAGAGACCCCAGAGAGCCACAACCAGGGCAGAGCUCGUGGCAGUUGCAGCCAUCCCAGGAAGUGGGACCACAUCCAGCCUGAGACCUGCCACCCUGGACACUGGGAUCCACAUUCAUCCAUGGCACUGGGACCACAGUCACCCUGGACAAGGGGAUCCAGCCCACCCUGGGCACUCUGAGGGUCUCUGUGUGCUGACAUGGGAGCACAAACUCGGGGUCCAGGCUCCAGGGUGGGCUGUGCACUUGUGAGGAGGGGAAAGGAAACACUCACAGACAAACAUGGCCCCAGCCAUGCAAGGAGACACUGAGCUGCUGCUGGGGACAACAUCUGGUACCUGCUGACCUUUCCCAAGCUGUGCCUCCCACCCUGGCAAAUCGUUCUCUCUGUGCUGCCAAAACAGCCAUCAAUUAAAAAUGCAUUACCACA